UCGUGUUACACUCGCAUGUAGUUUACGCGAGAAUGAUGAAUCGGUCGGUCGCUGCGGCGCUCCUGGCGCUCCUGGCUCGGAUCGUUUCAGGCAGGAAGGGCUUCGGGCCCGGCGAGCAGGACUGGGCCUACGUGCAGCUGCGCCAAGGAGCCCACAUGUUCUGGUGGCUCUUCUACGCCGGUGGCUCCGAGGCCAACGACAGGCCGCUCGUCGUCUGGCUGCAGGGCGGCCCCGGAGCCUCCUCCAGCGCGAUCGGCAACUUUGGCGAGAUCGGCCCGAUCGACGCCCGACUCCGAGCGCGAAACCACACAUGGGUCGAAGACUACAACGUGCUGUUCAUCGACAACCCCGUGGGCACGGGCUUCAGUUACGUCGACGAUUACGAGCGCCUCGCCAACAACAACUCGCAAAUUGCCCGAGACUUGGUCAGCUGCAUCGAGGCCUUCUACCGGCGCAUGACGGCCUUUGCCGCGACGCCAGCUUACCUGGUCGCCCAGUCGUACGGCGGCAAGAUGGCCGUCGAGUUCGCCAAUCACUGGUACCGACGACAGACGCAGGGAUUGAUAAGGAGCAACCUCAGAGGCAUCGGACUCAUCGACUCGUCCAUAUCGGCCAUCGACAAUUACCGAUUUUUCGCCUCCUACCUGCUGCACACGGGAUUCGUCGACAUGAUCGGCUUCCGUCGAGUCGACCUGGUGGCUGAGAAACUCGAGCAGGCCGCAGCUGCCGGCCAUUGGCCUCGAGUCGUCGACAUUACCCAGCAAAUCGAAGCCUUGGUUGUCAACAUCACCGACAAUAUGGACUGGUACAAUAUCCUCAACAAAGUUGACACUUGCUCCUCCAAAGCUCUCAGUGACAAAUACGUCGACUUGAUGAAUGGCCCGGUUCGUAGCUCCCUGAACUUGACCAGCUACUGGGGCCACCAAAGCUACCAAGUUGCUCUGGCACUGCUAGAGGACAAUAUGAAGCCCGUCAUUGAUCAAGGUAAUUUCAUAAUGACUAUUACAAGACAACGACACAAAGUCUCACGCAUAUUUUACACAAUUAUUCAAGUCGAAAUGCUUCUGAACUCGACCGAGCUCAAAGUUCACGUCUGCACUGGUCAAUUGGAUUUCAUCAUAAAUACACCAGGCACCUUAAAGUGGAUCGAGAAAAUGAAAGGAUGGAAGGAUCUUGACAAGUGGAUAAAAGCUCCAAGACUGCCUCUAGUGAUAGAUAACGUCAUCGAAGGCUACAGCAAGUCCUACGAUCGUUUUAAGCUCUUUUGGGUCAACAGAGCCGGCCAUGCGGUACGUCAGCCCGAGUCAGCGAUCGAGCUCGCAUUUACAAUUUUUCGCCUCGUCUAACUUUGCACAAUCAUUUUAAUACUAAUAAUGAACUGACAAAACCAAUUAAUAUGAAUACCAGUGGAUAAUGUCAUUGCAAUGAAGCACAUUCUGAAAGACUUAAUAGAGUAGUCGACGUUAUAUUUUUAAUAUAGAAAUCAAAAGAGAUAAAGUUGUGCUUAGAUGAACAAAUUUUUAAGUUAGACCAGCCAAUAAUAUGUGUACAACCUAGACAUUUUUAAUAUAGACCUUUUGAAAUUUG